rnacentral:tRNA from 1 species
GGCAUGAUGGCUCAGUGGUUAGAGCACCCGCCUCAUGAACGGGAGGUUGUGGGUUCGAACCCCGGCCGAGUCA